AUUGAUCGCUGGCGGCAGGCUUAACACAUGCAAGUCGAACGGUAACAGGAAGCAGCUUGUUUUUUCGCUGACGAGUGGCGGACGGGUGAGUAAUGUCUGGGAAACUGCCUGAUGGAGGGGGAUAACUACUGGAAACGGUAGCUAAUACCGCAUAACGUCGCAAGACCAAAGAGGGGGACCUUCGGGCCUCUUGCCAUCGGAUGUGCCCAGAUGGGAUUAGCUAGUAGGUGGGGUAACGGCUCACCUAGGCGACGAUCCCUAGCUGGUCUGAGAGGAUGACCAGCCACACUGGAACUGAGACACGGUCCAGACUCCUACGGGAGGCAGCAGUGGGGAAUAUUGCACAAUGGGCGCAAGCCUGAUGCAGCCAUGCCGCGUGUAUGAAGAAGGCCUUCGGGUUGUAAAGUACUUUCAGCGGGGAGGAAGGGAGUAAAGUUAAUACCUUUGCUCAUUGACGUUACCCGCAGAAGAAGCACCGGCUAACUCCGUGCCAGCAGCCGCGGUAAUACGGAGGGUGCAAGCGUUAAUCGGAAUUACUGGGCGUAAAGCGCACGCAGGCGGUUUGUUAAGUCAGAUGUGAAAUCCCCGGGCUCAACCUGGGAACUGCAUCUGAUACUGGCAAGCUUGAGUCUCGUAGAGGGGGGUAGAAUUCCAGGUGUAGCGGUGAAAUGCGUAGAGA
rnacentral:rRNA from 1 species